UAACUAUUGGCAAUGAGGAAACUGUUCAAAGUAGAGGCAGAUCUUGAUACAAAGAUGUUAAUCACAGGUUUGUUCAUAAUAUCAAUAUACAUGCACAUUUGGCUAGUACUAGGUAAAUAGGAAAAUAAAUCAUGUUGUAUGUAUACAAUAAGAGGUCAAGUUGCCAAUAAAUUAUUACUGUUAAUGUUCUGGGAGAUGCUGAAACUAUGCAAAGUGGGGAAGAGGGGAGGCAGAUAUUGCAGUUUUAUAGUGAAGAUCGGGCUUUGGAGUCAUACCUGAGAUGUAAGUAGCAGGUUUUAAAUUCUAGCUAUGACUCUGUGCAGAUCACUGAACUUCUGAGUGUCAGGAUGUUUGGAAGGACAAGAUAAUAAAUUACACCUUAGUAUCAUAUUAAUUUUCUUCAGUGUUCCGGCAAUUAGUGUUUAGAAAGCUGUCGUCAUGAGAUGGCUUUGGGUUGUGAUGAUAAUUGUUGGGAUUGAAAAAAUUGUAUCAUGAAGAGGUCAUAAUACUUAUUACAAUAGUAUUAAAAGUGGUUUUGCUUUCAGUUCGGGAGAAAAAUUAGAUUGUACUAUUUUGCUUCUGUGAUUUCCUUCAGUUAUCUUCCAAAUGUUAUUCUCUAUGCAUAGCCCCCUUAACAUUGUUUUCUAAGUACUUCUCAAUACAUUUUCAUGUUUCUCAA